AGUGAACGCUGGCGGUAGGCCUAACACAUGCAAGUCGAACGGCAGCACAGUAAGAGCUUGCUCUUACGGGUGGCGAGUGGCGGACGGGUGAGGAAUACAUCGGAAUCUACUUUUUCGUGGGGGAUAACGUAGGGAAACUUACGCUAAUACCGCAUACGGCCUACGGGUGAAAGCAGGGGAUCUUCGGACCUUGCGCGAUUGAAUGAGCCGAUGUCGGAUUAGCUAGUUGGCGGGGUAAAGGCCCACCAAGGCGACGAUCCGUAGCUGGUCUGAGAGGAUGAUCAGCCACACUGGAACUGAGACACGGUCCAGACUCCUACGGGAGGCAGCAGUGGGGAAUAUUGGACAAUGGGCGUAAGCCUGAUCCAGCCAUACCGCGUGGGUGAAGAAGGCCUUCGGGUUGUAAAGCCCUUUUGUUGGGAAAGAAAAGCAGCAGGUUAAUACCCCGCUGUUCUGACAGUACCCAAAGAAUAAGCACCGGCUAACUUCGUG
rnacentral:rRNA from 1 species